GGCGAUACAGCUCAGUGAUACAGCGCUUGUCUAGCAAGCAUGAGGUCGUGAGUUUGAUUCUCAGUACCCCCC
rnacentral:tRNA from 1 species